rnacentral:tRNA from 1 species
GCCGAUGUAGCUCAGGGGUAGAGCGUCUCCUUGGUAAGGAGAAGGUCCUGGGUUCGACUCCCAGCAUCGGCU